UCAACUUCCUAACAGGUAGUCUGGAAAUUUUCUUGCCCUCUGCGUGGCCCAGGGUUUCUGGAAGCAUGGUCAGGCGACCACCAGCAUCAGAGCUAUGAUGGUGGGAUGGCUCAGAGGUGGUCUCUGGUCUGAGAAGCCCAGCCCUGGACACCAUCUCUCAGGAGCAGGGACUGUGUCUGAGGAUCUGUGACUCCUGGACCCGCCUCCGCUUGUGGCCUAUAGCAGGUGCUCCUGGAAUAUCGACCCGGCCAGGUGACGGCUGGAAAUUACAGGGAGAAGGCUUGCAGGCGAUGCCAUUUAUGUGGGAGCUUGAAGACCAGGUAAGACUCCCUGUCUUGCGAGGCCAUCAUUCCAGGCAGCACAGGAAAUUGCUCCCGCAACAGGCGCUGAAGUUGACACAUAGUUGAUUGACAAAGCAUGUAGAGUCGGUCUCACAUGUGGCCCAAGUAGCAGGCUUCCUACCCGCUGCCUGCUGGUGAAGACCGUUGGUGGAGGCCCUUCUGCCUCUGGCUCAGCCUUUUGCUUUACUUCCUUGUGUUUUCAAGAAUUUUCAUCCUUGAGCUUUAUCAAGUGCAAAUGUCCCUCAGCUGGGUUGACAUGUUUGGGCUUAGGGCCACAUGGUCUCAUACAGUGACCACUGCACUAGAAGUUCUAAUCUAAAAUCUGCUGCUCAUUAGCCAGUCAUCUAACUACUCGGAACCUCAGCUUCACCCCUUCUCAUUUGGGUCCACGGUGGUGCCUGUGAAAAUUGAAUGAGAUCACGUGCUUCCCACUGAGCAUCUACUCAUCUGGCCCUUUCCAUUGUCAGAUUCCUUCCUCCCUAUUGAACAAAAAACAGCCAGAAGGAGACCCAGGAGCAGAACAGACUGGCAGGAGAGAACAGGGCUGGAAGUCCAUGCAAAGGAGCCAAUUUUCUUUAUCUGAAUGAUUUUUUGGAAGGAGCAGCUGUGCACAGACAUCUAUCAAUACAAAUCAUACAGACUGUAAACUGCUUUUUUUCUCAUUUUCUUUUCUCUGCCAAAAGCUACC
rnacentral:lncRNA from 1 species